rnacentral:rRNA from 1 species
UACAGAGGUCUCGAGCGUUGUUCGGAUUCAUUGGGCGUAAAGGGUGCGUAGGUGGCGCAGUAAGUCGGGUGUGAAAUCCUGAGGCUUAACCUCAGAACUGCAUUCGAUACUGCUGUGCUUGAGGACUGGAGAGGAGACUGGAAUUCAUGGUGUAGCAGUGAAAUGCGUAGAGAUCAUGAGGAAGACCAGUGGCGAAGGCGGGUCUCUGGACAGUUCCUGACACUGAGGCACGAAGGCCAGGGGAGCAAACGGG